GUAGUCUGCAACUCGACUACAUGAAGCUGGAAUUGCUAGUAAUCGCGGAUCAGAAUGCCGCGGUGAAUACGUUCCCGGGUCUUGUACACACCGCCCGUCACACCAUGGGAGUCAGUAACGCCCGAAGCCGGUGACCCAACCUAAUCAGGAGGGAGCCGUCGAAGGCGGGACGGAUGACUGGGGUGAAGUCGUAACAAGGUACC
rnacentral:rRNA from 1 species